rnacentral:rRNA from 1 species
CCUACGGGAGGCAGCAGUGGGGAAUAUUGCUCAAUGGGCGGAACCCUGAUGCAGCAACGCCGCGUGGGUGAAGAAGUACUUCGGUAUGUAAAGCCCUGUCAGCAGGGAAGAAAAUGACGGUACCUGACCAAGAAGCCCCGGCUCACUACGUGCCAGCAGCCGCGGUAAUACGUAGGGGGCAAGCGUUAUCCGGAUUUACGGGGUGUAAAGGGAGUGUAGACGGGAAGGCAAGUCUGGCGGGAAAGCCCGUGGCUCAACCACGGGACUGCUGUGGAAACUGUGUUGCUGGAGUGGAGGAGGGGUAAGCGGAAUUCGUAGUGUAGCGGUGAAAUGCAUAGAUAUUAGGAGGAACUCCGGUGGCGAAGGCGGCUUACUGGACUGUAACUGACGUUGAGGCACGAAGGCGUGGGGAGCAAACAGGAUUAGAUACCCUAGUAGUC